AAACGGCCAUAUCCAAUGUUGUUCAAGUAUGGCACAGAGGACUGUCAAGCUCGUUUUGUGGAAUCCUUAGGACAAGUGAUCCAAAUGUUAGCAGCAGAAGAAGCCACACCAAACUGCAUGUAUGAUUUCAGCAGCAUGAAGGGAGCUGGGACACAAAGACUUCCCCUGACAGACAGUGCUGGUGGAUACAGCCAACAUCUGGAGGAACACCUGCAGCCAUCACAUUAAAGCCGUGACAAACGUGGACAGCAGGUCAGGGUGAGGUGGCGGCCAAUCUUACCCACAGGUUGACAGAAUAAGGGGAAAGAAAAAUUGAGUGUUCAGUGUUUGAAUAAAAGGUGCAUUGUGUGGUGCUGGAGCCGUCCUGAG